UAGGGAAUCUUCGGCAAUGGACGGAAGUCUGACCGAGCAACGCCGCGUGAGUGAAGAAGGUUUUCGGAUCGUAAAGCUCUGUUGUAAGAGAAGAACGAGUGUGAGAGUGGAAAGUUCACACUGUGACGGUAUCUUACCAGAAAGGGACGGCUAACUACGUGCCAGCAGCCGCGGUAAUACGUAGGUCCCGAGCGUUGUCCGGAUUUAUUGGGCGUAAAGCGGGCGCAGGCGGUUAGAUAAGUCUGAAGUUAAAGGCUGUGGCUUAACCAUAGUAGGCUUUGGAAACUGUUUAACUUGAGUGCAAGAGGGGAGAGUGGAAUUCCAUGUGUAGCGGUGAAAUGCGUAGAUAUAUGGAGGAACACCGGUGGCGAAAGCGGCUCUCUGGCUUGUAACUGACGCUGAGGCUCGAAAGCGUGGGGAGCAAACAGGAUUAGAUACCCUGGUAGUCCACGCUGUAAACGAUGAGUGCUAGGUGUUAGACCCUUUCCGGGGUUUAGUGCCGUAGCUAACGCAUUAAGCACUCCGCCUGGGGAGUACGACCGCAAGGUUG
rnacentral:rRNA from 1 species